UAGAAGAAAAGCAGGCCCAGGUGAGGGCCACAGAAUUUAUAAUUAUUGAUAAAUUGGAUGCUUUAAGGCGUGGGACUCUUGGAACAAGUCCAGAGGGAACAGUUCAUAAUCUUGAAAAUAAGAUAUGAUCCUGGGGGCAGAAAACCAACCCCAGACUGUUUCCCAACUGGCCUCUCAGAGUUACAUGUUUUUCCGUAUCUGGAGGAAAUCUAUAGAUAAGAAUAUUGGUCUUAGUUACUGAUUUGUUAUUGAUUACUGUUUCUUGUUUACCGAAAGGUUAAUGAUCACUUUGUCCUUAGCCCUGAAGGCCACAUGAGUUAUUACUUAACCCCCUGCACAUUCCUUCCUUCACGGCUGAGAGUAUAACAAAGCUGACACUGAUUCAGUUUCGGCACCUUCACCUUGGAGCGGUGUUGGUCCCCUGAUCCUCGCCUUUCACUGAACUCUGUGUCUUGUCUCCGCCGCCGCAUCACGCUUUCGGAAACCCUGCUUGUCGAUCUGGACUAAAAGUGAAACCAGCCUCGAGGCUACGCUCCUAGCGGUGGAGAACGCAGGGAAAUCCGGCCAGCUCAGACGAGGAAGGAACCUUGUCUGGAGAAGAACAAUCAAGAGACAACUAAGCCAACAACAGCAACUAGCAUUUCUCACCAUUUCUCAUCAUGUGGAAAAUCAAAAACGGGGAGAUGUAGGAGACAGGAAGAAUAGAAGAAAAGCAGACCCUGGCGAGGGCCACAGAAGGAAUUUAUAAUUAUUGAUAAACUGGAUGCUUUAAGGCAUAGGACUCUUGGAACAAGUCCAGAGGGAACAGUUCAUAAUCUUGAAAACAAGAUAUGAUCCUGGGGGCAGAAAACCAACCCCAGACUGUUUCCCAACUGGCCUCUCAGAGUUACAUGUUUUUCCGUAUCUGGAGGAAAUCUAUAGAUAAGAAUAUUGGUCUUAGUUACUGAUUUGUUAUUGAUUACUGUUUCUUGUUUACCGAAAGGUUAAUGAUCACUUUGUUCUUUGGCCCUGAAGGCCACAUGAGUUAUUGCUUAACCCCCUGCACAUUCCUUCCUUCAUGGCUGAGAGUAUAAUAAAGCUGGCACGGAUUCAGUUUCGGCACCUUCACCUUGGAGCGGUGUUGGUCCCCUGAUCCUCGUCUUUCACUGAA